UGUUAACAGGAUCACUAUUAUGACUCAAGUUCUCAUUACAUUUGUAGUCUUGUCUCUGUGGCUUCAAGGUCAGUGCCAGGAUGUGAGCCAACACCCUGAAAUCAGUUGGAGUUAUGUUUCCCAAUCUGCAGAGAUGAACUGCAGCCACAACAAAGAUAUUUCUCAUAACCAGAUGUACUGGUACAGACAGCGUCCAGGGGAGACCAUGACCCUCGUUGUCUACACAGCUGUUGGUGGACAGCCAGACUACGGGGGGGCUCCUCAAACCAAAUAUUCAGCCAUCAAAGAAAUCACUGAGAGCGGGGCUCUUACUGUGAAAGACUUGCAGCUUGAGGACAGCGCUGUGUACUUCUGUGCCGUCAGUAAACACAGUGAUGUGACAAGUAUGAGCAGCUGAACAAUAACUGGUUGCCAACACAUUUGGUGAGCGGAUUAGGAACCAAAUGUUUGCUUUGAUAUCGUUCCAGCA